GAUGAACGCUGACAGAAUGCUUAACACAUGCAAGUCUUUGGCGAAGCUGUGCUUGCACAGCCUAGCCAAGGCGGACGGGUGAGUAACGCGUAAGGAACUUGCCCUGCAGUCAGGGAUAACAGACGGAAACGACUGAUAAGACCUGGUAAAGUCAGGCGGACACAUGUCCAGCCUGAUGAAAAGAGAUGCUGCAGGAGAGCCUUGCGUCCUAUUAGCUUGUUGGUGGGGUAACGGCCCACCAAGGCGAUGAUAGGUAGCCGGCCUGAGAGGGUGGACGGCCACAAGGGGACUGAGAUACGGCCCUUACUCCUACGGGAGGCAGCAGUGGGGAAUAUUGGACAAUGGGGGCAACCCUGAUCCAGCAAUUCUGUGUGCACGAUGAAGGUUUUCGGAUUGUAAAGUGCUUUCAGCAGGGAAGAAAAAAAUGACGGUACCUGCAGAAGAAGCGACGGCUAAAUACGUG
rnacentral:rRNA from 1 species